rnacentral:rRNA from 1 species
GUGGGGAAUAUUGGACAAUGGGCGCAAGCCUGAUCCAGCCAUGCCGCGUGAGUGAUGAAGGCCUUAGGGUUGUAAAGCUCUUUUAGCAGGGAAGAUAAUGACUGUACCUGCAGAAUAAGCUCCGGCUAACUUCGUGCCAGCAGCCGCGGUAAUACGAAGGGAGCUAGCGUUGUUCGGAAUCACUGGGCGUAAAGCGCACGUAGGCGGAUUUGUUAGUGAGGGGUGAAAUCCCGGGGCUCAACCUCGGAACUGCCUUUCAUACUGCAGAUCUCGAGUCCGAUAGAGGUGGGUGGAAUUCCUAGUGUAGAGGUGAAAUUCGUAGAUAUUAGGAAGAACACCGGUGGCGAAGGCGGCCCACUGGAUCGGUACUGACGCUGAGGUGCGAAAGCGUGGGGAGCAAACAGG